CCAAAAGCUGUGGACCUACUGUCAGCAGCAUUUGCAGACCAUUGGAAAGCAUUGCGAGGUUAUUUAGCAUGCACAACAAAACACUGUGCUGCGCCAAUCUAAAUCUUCCCCAUAGAGAUGUAUUGAAUUAGUGUAUCGAUAUGGGGAACAUUCAGCGCCUACAUGCAGAGUGUGGGGACACUGAAUGUAGGUACUGCAGCACUGGACUAGGAGUCACACUGAGUGAAUGUUACUAGGCAGCAAUGUAAACACUGCCUUUUCUUUGAAAGUGCCAACAUUGCAAGGACAGGCUAUAGGCACC